UACAGAGGUCUCGAGCGUUAGGCGGAAUCACUGGGCUUAAAGCGUGUGUAGGUGGAUCGUUAAGUACCUUGUGAAAUCCCACGGCUUAACCGUGGAACUGCUUGGUAUACUGGCGGUCUUGAGCCAGCUAGGGGCAACCGGAACAAACGGUGGAGCGGUGAAAUGCGUAGAUAUCGUGUGGAACGCCAAUGGUGAAAACAGGUUGCUGGGGGUGUGCUGACGCUGAGACACGAAAGCCAGGGGAGCAAACGGG
rnacentral:rRNA from 1 species